AUGACGGUGGGUCCAAGGACCCCGAAGUGGUCGAUGCCAAGCUUCCAGGAAAAGCCUCUAAGCAUCAGGUCAUGGGUGACCGUACCCCAAACCGACACAGGUGGGUAGGUAGAGUAUACUAAGGGGCGCGAGAUAACUCUCUCUAAGGAACUCGGCAAAAUGACUCCGUAACUUCGGGAGAAGGAGUGCCUUAUUUAUAAGGUUGCAAUAACAAGAUCCAAGCAACUGUUUAUCAAAAACACAGGUCUCCGCUAAGUCGUAAGACGAUGUAUGGGGGCUGACGCCUGCCCAGUGCCAGAAGGUUAAAGAAGUUGGUUAGUGUAUGCGAAGCUGAUGACUGAAGCCCUGGUGAACGGCGGCCGUAGCAAUAACGGUCCUAAGGUAGCGAAAUUCCUUGUCGGGUAAGUUCCGACCCGCACGAAAGGCGUAAUGAUUUGGAUACUGUCUCGGAGAGAGGCUCGGUGAAAUAGACUUGUCUGUGAAGAUGCGGACUACCUGCACCAGGACAGAAAGACCCUAUGAAGCUUUACUGUAACUUGAAAUUGGAAUUGGACUUUGCUUGCGCAGUAUAGGUGGGAAGCGUUGAAGAUAUUCUUGCGGGAGUAUUGGAGCUAUCAGUGAGAUACCACUCUUGUAAUGUUAGAUUUCUAACUUUGAACCAUAAUCUGGUCAAAGAACAGUUUCAGGUGGGCAGUUUGACUGGGGCGGUCGCCUCCCAAAUGGUAACGGAGGCGUACAAAGGUUUCCUCUGAACGGAUAGAAAUCGUAUCUAGAGUGUAAAGGCAUAAGGAAGCUUGACUGUGAGACCUACAAGUCGAGCAGGGACGAAAGUCGGUCUUAGUGAUCUGACGGUACUGAGUGGAAAGGCCGUCACUCAACGGAUAAAAGUUACUCUAGGAUAACAGGCUGAUCUCCCCCAAGAGUUCACAUCGACGGGGAGGUUUGGCACCUCGAUGUCGGCUCAUCGCAUCCUGGGGCGGUAGUACGUCCCAAGGGUUGGGCUGUUCGCCCAUGAAAGCGGUACGCGAGCUGGGUUCAGAACGUCGUGAGACAGUUCGGUCCAUAUCCGGUGUAGGCGUUAGAAUAUUGAGAGGAGCCUUCUUUAGUACGAGAGGACCGAGAAGGACACACCGCUGGUGUACCAGUUAUCGUGCCAACGGUAAACGCUGGGUAGCUAUGUGUGGAGUGGAUAACCGCUGAAAGCAUCUAAGUGGGAAGCCCACCUCAAGAUGAGUAUUCUC
rnacentral:rRNA from 1 species